UUAUCCUAAACCUAACCCUAACCCUAAUGAAAACCCUAGCCCUAACCCUGAACCUAAACCUGACCAUAACCGUAAUCCUAACCCUAGACCUAACCUAAACCAAACCCUCACCCUAGGAUUAACCCUAGCUCAAAACCUAACCUUUACCCUAAACCUAACACUAACCCAAACCCUAAGCCUAACUCUAGACCUAAUCUUAACAAUAACCUUAGCUCUAACCCUAACCCUAACUCUAAUACUGACCCUCGCCCUAGCCCUCAACUUAGCUAUAACCCACUCCCUUACCCUACAUGUAACACUAACUCUAACCCUAACCUGAGGUCUAAACCUUACAAUAACCCUAGCCCUAAUUUAGCCCUAUCCCUAAACAUAACCCUAGCCCUAGCCCUAUGACUAACUCUCACACCAGCCUAUCACUAGUUCUAACAUAUCCCUUACCAUAACGCUAACCCUGGCCCUAACCCUAGUCCUAACCCUUGCCCUAUCCUUAGUCCUAGCCCUAACCAUAGAUCAAAUCUUAACUCUAAAUCUAACCCUAACCCAAAGCCUAAGC
rnacentral:lncRNA from 1 species